UCUUGAGAGCGUAUGACGACCUCUGGCGGUUGAUGAGUGACGUAACAACAAUCUGUCAACGUCUCCAUUAUAAUAAUGGACUCCUCCGCCUCCAUCAAACUUUUCACAGAGACAGGUCCCGACGUUAAUUACCGGUAAACUCACAGGCCUCCGUCGAAGGAGACAUAUUUACGGUGAAUAUUUACGCUUGAGCUUCAAACUUCGCCUCAAAACACGAAUUAAUGGCAAAGUUAAAGAGACAAUUGGUGUCAAAUAUGUCACUUUGUUCUCUGUUUUAUGGGGGGCAACAAAAAACUUUACCCACUGAGCUUUGACGACGAUGUGAGUUAACGUGACGGUUGAGAAGACUGCUGCAGUGUUAGAAGGUGAUGAUGAAGAUCAAGUGGGUCCCAGUUUCAUGAAGCCAGUCCAAGCAAUCAAGAGAAACUAAUUCUCUUCGUCAUACAUUUCAACAGAUUACAGAAGUACCAGAAGAUGUGCCAAUUGGCUGUUUGCUGAACCUCUCCUCUCUUAGGUGCAGAACUUAUGUGCUGGCUGGCCGUGGGCUGUAGUCUUCGUGUGU